CCUAGUUUAUCCUGCCAAUAUUCAUAUGCUUGUCACAAAGAUUAAGCCAUGCAUGUGUAAGUAUGAACAAAUUCAAACUGUGAAACUAUGAAUGGAUCAUUAAAUCUGUUAUAGUUUAUUUGAUGGUAUCUACUACUCAGAUAACAAUAGUAAUUCCAGAGCUAAUAUGUGCAAAAAACGCCGACUUUUGAAAUGGAUGCAUUUAUUAGAUAAAAGGUAGACGCAGGCUCUGCCCGUUGCUGCGAUGAUUUGUGAUAACUCGAUGGAUCGCACGACCAUCAUUCCAGCAAUGCAUCAUUCAAUUUUUUGUCCUAUCAAGUUUCAAUGGUAGGAUAGUGGCCUACCAUAGUGGUGCCGGGUGAUGAAGAAUUAGGGUUCGAUUAUGGAGAGGGAGCCUGAGAAAUGGCUACCACAUCCUAGGAAGGCAGCAGGCUCACAAAUUACCUAGUCCUGACAUAGGGAGGUAGUGACAAUAAAUAAUAAUAUUGGGCUCAAUGAGUCUGGUAAUUGGAAUGAGUACAAUCUAAAUCCCUUAAUGAAGAUCCAUUGGAGAGAGAGUCUGGUGCCAGCAGCCGUGGUAAUUCCAACACUAAUAGCAUAUAUUUAAGUUGUUGAAGUUAAAAAGAUCAAAGUUGGACUUUGGGAUUGGUCGACAGGUCCGCCUAUGGUGUGCAUUGGUCGUCUCGUCCCUUCUAUCAGUGAUGUACUCCUGCCCUGAACUGGCUGGGUCAUGCCUCUGGCACUAUUACUUUGAAGAAAUUAGAGUGCUUAAAGCAAGCCUACGCUCUGUAUACAUUAGCAUGGGAUAAUAUUAUAGGAUUUUGGUCCUAUUACGUUGGCCUUCGGGAUUGGAGUAAUGAUUAACAGGGAUAGUUGGGGGCAUUAGUAUUUCAUAGUCAUAGGUGAAAUUAUUGGAUUUAUGAAGUACAAACAACUGCGAAAGAAUUUUCCAAAGAUGUUUUCAUUAAUCAAGAAUGAAAGUUGGGGGUUCGAAGGAGGUCAGAUACCGUCCUAGUCUCAACCAUAAAAAAUGCCGACCAGGGAUCGGCGGAUGUUUCUUUUAGGACUCCGCUGGCACCUGAUAAGAAAUCAAACUUUUUGGGUUUCGGGGGGAGUAUGGUCGCAAGGUUGAAACUUAAAGGAAUUAGUGGAAGAGCACCACCAGGAGUGGAGCCUGCGGCUAAAUUUGACUAUACACAGGGAAACUUACCAGGUCCAGACAAAGUAAGGAUUAACAGACUUAGAGCUCUUUCAUGAUUCUAUGGGUGGUGGUGCAUGGCCGUUCUUAGUUGGUAGAGACAUUUGUCUGGUUUAUUCCAUUAAUAAACGAGACCUCAGCCUGCUAACUAGCUAUACGGAGGUAUCGCUUCGUGUCUAGCUUCUUAGUGGGACUACGGCCUUUUAGGCCACAGAAGUUUUAGGCAAUAACAGGUCUGUGAUGCCCUUAGAUGUUUUGGACCGAACGCGCGCUACACUGAUGUAUUCAAUGAAUUUAUAGCCUUAGCCGACAGGCCCGGCUAAUCUUUGAAAGUUUGUCGUGAUGGGGAUAGAUCAUUGCAAUUGUUCGUCUUCAAAGAGGAAUUCUUAGUAAACGCGAGUCAUCAUCUCACGUUGGCUAUGUCCCUGCCCUUUGUGCACACCGCCCGUCGCUCUUACCGAUUGAAUGAUCCAGUGAAAUAUUUGGAUUGCAGCGACGUGGCCGGUACGCUGCCUGCAAUGUCACGAGAAGUCCAUUGAACCUUAUCAUUUAGAGGAAGGAGAAUUCAUAACAAGGUUUCCGUAGGUAAACCUGCGGAAG
rnacentral:rRNA from 1 species